rnacentral:ribozyme from 1 species
UGCUCAGCAACUCCUAUCCCUACCUUCUCGUGGUACUGGCCGGGUACAAGUAACCUUGGGGAAGAUCGGGUAAUCAACCCCGGUGGGAACCUUCGUCGUAUGCUGACACUGUCAGCCUGACAGGGAAGG